AUCCGGCUGACGAGUCCCAAAUAGGACGAAAUGUUCGUUGUUUUAGAU
rnacentral:hammerhead_ribozyme from 1 species